AGAGUUUGAUCCUGGCUCAGGAUGAACGCUGGCGGCGUGCCUAACACAUGCAAGUCGAACGGCCCUUCGGGGCAGUGGCGCACGGGUGAGUAACACGUAGCUCAUCUACCCCCGAGAGAGGGAUAACAGUCAGAAAUGACUGCUAAUACCUCAUAAGCUCCCGUCCUGUAGAGGGAUGAGAGAAAAGAUUUUAUCUUGGGGAUGAGGCUGCGAACCAUCAGCUAGUUGGUGAGGUAAAGGCUCACCAAGGCGACGACGGUUAGGGGACCUGAGAGGGUGACCCCCCACACUGGAACUGAGACACGGUCCAGACUCCUACGGGAGGCAGCAGUGAGGAAUAUUGCACAAUGGGCGCAAGCCUGAUGCAGCGACGCCGCGUGGGCGAUGAAGGAUUUCGGUCUGUAAAGCCCUUUUCUGCGUGACGAGAGUGGACGGUAGCGCAGGAAUAAGUCUCGGCUAACUACGUGCCAGCAGCCGCGGUAAGACGUAGGAGGCAAGCGUUAUCCGGAGUUACUGGGCGUAAAGCGCGUGUAGGCGGAUCGGUAAGUUACUUAUGAAAGCUCCUGGCUAAACUGGGAGAGGUUAAGUGAUACUGCCAGUCUAGAGUGGAUGAGAGGUUGAUGGAAUUCCGCGUGUAGUGGUGAAAUGCGUAGAUAUGCGGAAGAACACCAGUGGCGAAGGCGAUCAACUGGCAUCCAACUGACGCUCAGACGCGAAAGCAUGGGUAGCGAACGGGAUUAGAAACCCCGGUAGUCCAUGCCGUAAACGAUGCACACUAAACGUUCGUGCUCCGCAAGGGGUGUGAGUGUUGAAGCAAACGCGAUAAGUGUGCCGCCUAGGGAGUACGGUCGCAAGGCUAAAACUUAAAGGAAUUGACGGGGGCCCGCACAAGCAGCGGAGCGUGUGGUUUAAUUCGAGUAUACGCGAAGAACCUUACCCGGGUUUGACAUAUGCGUGUUAAUCUGCAGAGAUGUGGAUGACCUUUCGAGGAGCGCAAACAGGUGCUGCAUGGUUGUCGUCAGCUCGUGCCGUGAGGUGUUCGGUUAAGUCCGCAAACGAGCGCAACCCUCGUUGCUAGUUACAAGUGUCUAGCGAGACUGCCCGUGGUAAACGGGAGGAAGGUGGGGAUGACGUCAAAUCAGCAUGGCCUUUAUAUCCGGGGCUACACACACGCUACAAUGGCGCGUACAAUGGGUAGCGAAGCCGCGAGGUGGAGCCAAUCCUGAAAGCGCGUCUCAGUUCGGAUUGCAGGCUGCAACUCGCCUGCAUGAAGUCGGAGUUGCUAGUAACCGCGUAUCAGCACGGCGCGGUGAAUACGUUCCCGGGCCUUGUACACACCGCCCGUCACGUCAUGGGAGUUGGUUACGCCUGAAGUCGGGAAGCUAACCGCAAGGGGGCUACCGCCUAGGGCAGAGCUGAUGACUGGGACGAAGUCGUAACAAGGUA
rnacentral:rRNA from 1 species